rnacentral:rRNA from 1 species
AUUGAACGCUGGCGGCAGGCCUAACACAUGCAAGUCGAGCGGCAGCGGAAAGUAGCUUGCUACUUUGCCGGCGAGCGGCGGACGGGUGAGUAAUGUCUGGGAAACUGCCUGAUGGAGGGGGAUAACUACUGGAAACGGUGGCUAAUACCGCAUAACGUCGCAAGACCAAAGUGGGGGACCUUCGGGCCUCACGCCAUCGGAUGUGCCCAGAUGGGAUUAGCUAGUAGGUGGGGUAAUGGCUCACCUAGGCGACGAUCCCUAGCUGGUCUGAGAGGAUGACCAGCCACACUGGAACUGAGACACGGUCCAGACUCCUACGGGAGGCAGCAGUGGGGAAUAUUGCACAAUGGGCGCAAGCCUGAUGCAGCCAUGCCGCGUGUGUGAAGAAGGCCUUCGGGUUGUAAAGCACUUUCAGCGAGGAGGAAGGCAUCAUACUUAAUACGUGUGGUGAUUGACGUUACUCGCAGAAGAAGCACCGGCUAACUCCGUGCCAGCAGCCGCGGUAAUACGGAGGGUACAAGCGUUAAUCGGAAUUAC